CCUACGGAUGGCAGCAGUAGGGAAUUUUCGGCAAUGGCGGGAACCCUGACCGAGCAACGCCGCGUGAACGAAGAAGUUAUUCGUAAUGUAAAGUUCUUUUUACAGGGAAGAAAGAGAAAUUUGACGGUACCUGAAGAAUAAGCUCCGGCUAACUCCGUGCACGCAGCCGCGGAAAUAAGUCGGGAGCGAGCGUUAUCGGGAAUGAUUGGGCGAAAAGGGUGCGUAGAUGGCAUAGUAAGUCUUUUGUAAAAAUGCUGGGCUAAACCCAGUAGGGCAAAAGAUACUGCAAAGCUAGAGUAUGACAGAGGCAAGUGGAACUACAUGUGUAGCGGUGAAAUGCGUAAAUAUAUGGAAGAACACCAGUGGCGAAGGCGGCUUGCUGGGUCAAUACUGACAUUGAGGCACGAAAGCGUGGGGAGCAAACAGGAUUAGAUACCCCUGUAGUC
rnacentral:rRNA from 1 species